rnacentral:rRNA from 1 species
AUUGAACGCUGGCGGCAUGCCUUACACAUGCAAGUCGAACGGCAGCGGGCCUUCGGGUGCCGGCGAGUGGCGAACGGGUGAGUAAUGCAUCGGAACGUGCCAUUGAGUGGGGGAUAACGUAGCGAAAGUUGCGCUAAUACCGCAUAUUCUGUGAGCAGGAAAGCAGGGGGACCGCAAGGCCUUGCGCUCCUUUGAGCGGCCGAUGUCAGAUUAGCUAGUUGGUGGGGUAAAGGCCUACCAAGGCGACGAUCUGUAGCGGGUCUGAGAGGAUGAUCCGCCACACUGGAACUGAGACACGGUCCGGACUCCUACGGGAGGCAGCAGUGGGGAAUUUUGGACAAUGGGGGCAACCCUGAUCCAGCCAUGCCGCGUGAGUGAAGAAGGCCUCGGUUGU